UACAGAGGUCUCAAGCGUUGUUCGGAUUCAUUGGGCGUAAAGGGUGCGUAGGCGGCGCGGUAAGUCGGGGUGUGAAAUCUCGGAGCUUAACUCCGAAACUGCAUUCGAUACUGCCGUGCUUGAGGACUGGAAAGGAGACUGGAAUUUACGGUGUAGCGGUGAAAUGCGUAGAUAUCGUAAGGAAGACCAGUGGCGAAGGCGGGUCUCUGGAC
rnacentral:rRNA from 1 species